rnacentral:lncRNA from 1 species
GAGUAUGCGCGUGCGCACCGCUUUCGGGAGCUUUUGCACAGAGCUGAUGUCAUUUGUCAGAGUGAACCGCUGUGGUCCCCGAGUUGGUGUAAGAAAGACACCGAAAGUAAAGAAGAAGAAAACUUCAGUGAAACAAGAAUGGGAUAAUACCGUGACUGAUCUAACCGUUCAUCGGGCAACUCCCGAAGAUCUGGUACGCCGUCAUGAAAUACACAAAUCGAAGAAUAGAGCAUUAGUACACUGGGAACUCCAAGAAAAAGCUUUGAAGAGAAAAUGGAGGAAGCAGAAACCAGAAACUUUAAAUCUUGAGAAAAGAAGAUUGUCUAUCAUGAAGGAGAUUCUUUCUGAUCAAUACCAGAUGCAAGAUGUGUUGGAGAAAUCUGAUCAUCUAAUAGCUGCAGCAAAAGAGCUGUUUCCUCGUAGGCGCACAGGGUUUCCAAAUGUAACAGUGGCUCCUGAUUCCUCUCAGGGUCCCAUUGUGGUAAAUCAAGACCCUAUCACCCAAUCUAUCUUUAAUGAGUCUGUCAUAGAACCUCAGGCUCUUAAUGAUGUAGAUGGUGAAGAAGAAGGAACUGUUAAUAGCCAGUCAGGAGAAAGUGAGAAUGAGAAUGAGUUGGAUAACUCUCUAAACUCUCAGUCUAACACGAAUACAGACAGGUUUCUCCAACAACUAACAGAAGAGAAUUUUGAGUUAAUUAGUAAGUUGUGGACUGACAUUCAGCAGAAAAUAGCAACCCAGUCACAAAUAACUCCUCCAGGAACGCCAUCAUCUGCUCUUUCAUCAGGGGAGCAAAGAGCUGCUCUGAAUGCUACCAAUGCUGUCAAGAGACUCCAAACCAGGCUUCAGCCUGAAGAAUCUACUGAGACUCUAGACUCAAGCUACGUUGUGGGACACGUGCUGAACUCAAGGAAGCAAAAACAGCUGUUAAAUAAAGUGAAAAGGAAACCGAAUUUGCAUGCUCUUUCCAAGCCGAAGAAAAACAUAUCAUCAGGUAGCACAACCUCUGCAGACUUACCAAAUAGGACUAAUUCCAACCUGGAUGUCCUCAAACACAUGAUACAUGAAGUGGAACAUGAAAUGGAAGAAUAUGAGCGGUGGACAGGUCGCGAGGUCAAGGGUCUGCAGAGCAGUCAGGGUCUUACAGGCUUCACUUUGUCGCUGGUGAGCUCCCUCUGUCGCCUGGUUCGGUACCUUAAAGAGAGUGAGAUCCAGCUACGUAAAGAAGUAGAGACAAGGCAACAACUGGAACAAGUAUUAGGUGAUCAUCGAGAGCUCAUUGAUGCUCUGACAGCUGAAAUUCUUCGUCUUAGAGAAGAAAACGCUGCUACACAGGCAAGACUUCAGCAGUACAUGGUCACAACAGAUGAGCAACUGAUAUCACUCACACAUGCUAUUAAGAACUGUCCUGUGAUAAAUAACAGACAAGAAAUUCAGGCAUCAGAAAGCGGAGCCACAGGUAGAAGAGUUAUGGACAGUCCAGAGCGUCCAGUUGUAAAUGCCAAUGUCUCAGUGCCAUUGAUGUUCAGAGAGGAAGUGGCUGAAUUCCCACAGGAAGAGUUGCCCGUUAAACUGUCUCAGGUGCCAGACCCUCCAGAUAACAUGAAUCUGGCCAAGAAUUUUCCAGCACAUAUUUUUGAGCCAGCUGUGUUGUUAACACCACCCAGGCAGAAGAGCAACUUAAAAUUCUCUCCUCUUCAGGACGUAUUGAGAAGGACUGUUCAAACUCGUCCUGCUCCACGACUUCCUCCAACUGUGGAAAUAAUUGAGAAGGAACAAAAUUGGGAAGAGAAGACCUUACCUAUUGAUACAGACAUUCAGAAUUCAAGUGAAGAGAAUCGUCUCUUCACUCAGAGAUGGAGAGUCUCUCACAUGGGAGAAGAUUUGGAGAACAAAACUCAGGCUCCUUUUGUUAACCUCUCACAGCCCCUCUGCAAUUCCCAUUCCAACACUCAACAGUCAAGAAGCCCCACAUUCUCAGAAGAGCUCCCAGUACUGGGAGAUGGGCAGCAGCUGAGAACAAAUGAGUCAUUAAUACAAAGAAAGGACAUAAUGACACGAAUUGCUGAUUUGACAUUGCAGAAUUCAGCUAUCAAGGCACAUAUGAAUAAUAUUAUUGAGCCCAGAGGAGAGCAAGGGGAUGGACUCCGGGAGUUGAACAAACAAGAAAGUGCAAGUGACAUGACUUCUACUUUUCCAGUAGCACAGUCUCUAACACCAGGUAGUAUGGAGGAACGGAUUGCAGAAUUGAAUCGACAAAGUAUGGAGGCUCGUGGAAAACUACUGCAGUUGAUAGAGCAGCAGAAACUUGUUGGUUUGAAUCUUUCUCCACCAAUGUCACCUGUUCAGUUACCUCUCAGAGCAUGGACUGAAGGAGCAAAGAGGACAAUUGAGGUAUCUAUUCCAGGAGCAGAAGCCCCAGAAAGCUCAAAAUGUAGUACUGUCUCUCCCGUCAGCGGGAUAAAUACAAGAAGAUCUUCCGGGGCUACUGGUAAUUCUUGUUCUCCACUAAAUGCCACCUCAGGAAGUGGGAGAUUCACACCUCUUAAUCCAAGAGCAAAGAUUGAGAAACAGAAUGAAGAAGGCUGGUUUGCUCUUUCUACCCAUGUAUCAUAAGUGAAGUCAAGUCUCACUGAGUUUGUUCUUAAUAAUUUAUUACUUCCCUUUCCCUGCUCUGACUUUUAAGUUUUUAUAUCCUUCUUUCAGAUAAAACCUACAAAGAUCCUGUGAAUUAGUACUAAUGAAACAGAGAAAUAAAGCAAUUAUUUUUUGACUUUCUCAAAUAAGUUUUCAACAACCAACUGACCUACAGCUCCCUGUGAAUGAAACUUUGACUGUAGAGAAGUUAAAGUUUUGUAUUUUAAUACUUUCUUAAGUAUUUUAAGGGUUUUUUUUAUUAAUACAUUUUUACCUUUAUCUUUAUUCAGGGUUUUUUGAGGUUUAGUAUAUCUUAGUUGAUCCAUUUAUUUAUUUAUUUUCCUGAAGAACUAAUUUGCUUUGCAUGUAACUUACAAUAAAAUUCCUCUGUGUGAUUAGAGUCUGGCUUUCAGGAAUAUGUAACACCCACUUUUCUUUCUUUUUUCUUGGGAAGUCAUUGCUGUUCAUCACUUUUUCCAUCAAGUGAAAUAUACAGCCUUAAAAACAAUAGGCCUGGGAGUGUUUGUUUAUAUUUGCUUAAGCAGUGUCAUGAGGCGGAGAAGGCCCGACCAAAGGGCGGAUAGGUACCGGGUUCCCGGAGAGCUGGACGCCGGCCGCGCAUGCGCCCCACGGCCCGCCCUGGUUCCGCCUCCCUGGAAGAGGGGUGGCGUUGUCUCGGUAACCGGAGUAAACGGAGGCCUCCGGCAGACGCUGUGAAGAGAGGAGCCGCGGCGGUCAGUACCUUCGAGGAAAUGAAGGAACCAGAUGAUCAGGAUACUGAUGGGGAGAAAUCAGUUACAUCAAAGAGUGAUGGGAAGAAGUCUCUGAGGUCUUCUAAAUCAGAAUCAAGAUCUCCUGUUCAAGAAGAUAACACAUUUUUAGAAGAUGACACAGAUGAAACAUUUACCAAAGGGGAAGGAUCAUAUUUAGAAGAAGACUCAGAUGAGGAACGUUUGGAAGGAAGUUUGAGUUCAUUUCAGUAUGGUGAUUUGCAAAGCACUACAGUACCUCAGCAAACCCCUGCUCCAGCUGUGGAAGAAGCAGAGGAGGAAGUUAAGAAGAAAAUAUCAGAGAGCUUCUUCUAUGAUUAUAUGGAGCUUGCUUCGAUGCCUUUUGUGACUCUGGAUUCAAACAUACCACUGGAUCUUCUCACACUUGUACAUUCUUUUGGUUAUGACUGUAGAAAGCGAGCCAACCUACAACUUCUGGACGACAGUAUCGCCAUAUACAUAGCUGGGAACCAACUGAUCUUUCUGAAUUUGAAAACCAAGGAACAGAUCUACCUGCGAAGUAGCAGUGGUGAAGGAAUUGGCGUCAUUGGGGUUCAUCCACAUAAAACUUAUUUCACAGUAGCUGAAAAAGGGAGUUUUCCAGAUAUUAUCAUCUAUGAAUAUCCUUCUCUGAGACCAUACAGAGUCCUUCGAGGUUCUGGGAAAUGGCUUUUACGUUCACCGGUCUCAAGCUGCAGGGAUCACUAGGUCGAUUUGGCAAAACAAUCACUACUGAUAUAGAAGGCUACAUGGAGCUCCCAGAUGGGAAGGUGCUCUCAGGGUCAGAAUGGGGCAACAUGCUGCUUUGGGAAGGUGGUCUGAUCAAAGUGGAGCUCUGUCGAGGGACAAGCAAGUCAUGUCACAAUGGUCCCAUUAACCAGAUAAUGCUGUAUGAGGGUGAAGUUAUCACUGUUGGGUCAGAUGGAUAUGUUAGGAUAUGGGAUUUUGAGACAAUAGACACUGCUGAUGUAAUAGAUGAGACUGGAUUGUUGGAGAUUGAGCCUAUUAAUGAACUUCAAGUAGACAAGAAUGUGAAUCUCUUCUCUAUGAUAAAAAUGAAUGAAACUGGAAAUAACUUUUGGUUGGCUCAGGAUGCCAAUGGAGCCAUAUGGAAGCUUGACCUUAGUUUUUCAAAUAUUACCCAGGACCCAGAAUGCCUCUUCUCCUUCCAUUCUGGAGCUAUUGAAGCCGUGGCUGUUUCUCCUCUCACUUAUCUCAUGGCCACAACUGCCUUGGACUGCUCUGUUCGAAUCUAUGAUUUUGCUAGCAAAACUCCUUUGGCCCAGAUGAAAUUCAAACAAGGAGGUACUGCCCUUGUUUGGGUACCCCGAAUGGUAAACUUCACUGGAGCACAAAUUAUUGUAGGAUUUGAAGAUGGAGUUGUUCGAAUUCUUGAACUUUAUGAUCCAAAAGGGCUCACGAUUUUUGCGGGACGGAAGAAAAUUUUGGAUGCUGAUAUUCAGUUGAAACAGGUUUUCAAACCCCAUACUGCUUGUGUCACUGCUUUAGCUUAUGAACGUGAUGGGGAAAUUCUAGCCACAGGGAGUAAAGAUCAAACUGUUUUCUUCUUUGAAGUGGAAAGGGAUUAUAAGCCGAUUGGUUAUAUUAAUACUCCUGGACCUGUGUGUCAGUUAAUGUGGUCUCCCAUGUCUCAUCCUGAAAGUACUUUACUAAUUAUCUGUGAAAAUGGCUAUAUUCUUGAAGCUCCACUUCCAACCAUAAAGCAAGAAGAGGAUGAUCAUGAUGUAGUCUCCUAUGAAAUCAAAGACAUGUGCAUAAAAUGUUUCCAUUUUUCAAGUGUCAAAUCUAAGAUUCUGAGAUUAAUAGAAAUUGAAAAGAGGGAGAGACAAAGGGAGUUGAAGGAGAAAAUAAGGGAAGAAAGGAGGAACAAGCUAGCAGCAGAGAUGGGAGAAGAUGGAGAAAAAGAAUUUCAGGAGGAGGAAGAGGAGAAAGAGGAGGAGGAGGAGGAAGAAGAGCCAUUACCUGAAAUAUUUAUUCCGUCAACCCCCUCUCCCAUCCUCUGUGGAUUUUACUCAGAGCCAGGGAAGUUCUGGGUUUCUUUGCAUUAACAAAGUUAUGAUGUUUUGUGGAAUGAAAAAUGGAGCAAUUCGAGUCUAUGUCCUAAAUCAAAAUGAUCCUUCAUUGACCAGUUUGGUGGACUACUGGCACUUCAAUAUGCAUGACAAUAAUUAUGGAUGUAUUAAAAGUAUUGCUAAUAGCUUUGAUGAUCGUUUCUUGGUGACUGCUGGAGCAGAUGGCAAUAUCUUUGUUUUCAACAUUUUUUCUGAAUUUAUGCUAAGGAAAGACAUGAAGGCCAAAGUUCCAUCUCCCAGGUUUGGAAUUGAAACAGAGCCAAUUCCAGAAGACAUUGAAGAUCCCAAAGCCUACAGUAUCGAGAAUGCUAGGAGAAAAAGAGAACAUGACAAGUUAAUGAAAGAAGUGGGAGAAAUAAAGGCACGGAAGAGAGAGCAAAUCAAAGCUUUGAGGAGUGAAUUUUGUAAUCUAUUAGAAAUGAAUGAAAAAUUACCAAAGCAUAUGCAGUUUAAACGAACAGAUUUUGAUGUAGAUUCCCAAAUCCGUGCUGAGAUGCACAGAAAAACAGCUUUCAAAAUUCAACAAGUGGAAAAGGAAUUAGCUUGGGAAAAAGAGAAACAUGAACUCGGCCUAAUGAAGCUAAAGAAUCGGUGGGAGUGUUACCAUACAAGAAGAAUCAAUAAUAGAAAAAGGGAAGAAAUUUCGGCCUAAAACCCUAAGUGAAAUCAUCGUGGAAAAUCAAAUUGAGAAAACGAGAAAACUUAUAUUAAAAGCUGAAAGGGCACAACUAAAGAUUCAACAGCGAAAAAAAGAAUGGGAGGAACUGUCCAUGGAAAUAAAAGGCACAUGAACAAGUGCAUUCUCUCUCUUAGAGACCUUAAAGUGGCUGUUGUUGAGGAAAUACAGUGCCUGGUACAAGAACUGAAGAACAUUCAGUCGACUCUUCACAUAUCCAAGCACAUACCCAUUCCCAAAAUUCCUCAGAUACACCCAGAAGAAGUUCCAGAAAAGAGAUUUCAGUAUGAUGAAGAAACUCUCCUAAAUUUUAAGCAACAGCAAAUGAAAAGUAAAGAUGAAAAGUCCCCCGGAGUGGAACAGACAGGGUCUGGAGGCCCAGUUGGAGGAUUCCUCAAACUCUCUUCUAGAAAGGAUGGGGAUUUGACAACCCGUGAUUCAAUAUCUAGAUCAUCAAAGGCAUCAACAUUCAGCCUAGAUAUACCAAAGUGUUUGGAAUUUGAAAAAGCAGAGCCAACGGAUGUGGAGCUGGAAAUUAUGAAGAGAGACGAGAUUAAACACGUGUACAUGCAACAGUAUUUGGUCAACAGGUGGAAAAUAAAUGAAACUCUUAAAGAGAUGGAAGAGAAAAAGAAUGAAAUCACCAAACUCCAGGAGCAAGAAAAGGCACUCUAUGCUGGUUUUCAAGCAGCCAUUGGAGAAAACAAUAAAUUUGCAAACUUCCUCAUGAAGGUCCUAAAGAAGAAGAUUAAACGGGUAAAGAAAAAAGAAGUUGAAGGAGAUGCUGAUGAAGAUGAGGAGAGUGAGGAAUCAAGUGAAGAAGAAUCUAGCUUGGAGAGUGAUGAAGAUGAGUCUGAAUCAGAAGAUGAGGUUUUUGAUGAUUCUAUUUGCCCAACAAAUUGUGAUGUGGCUCUUUUUGAGCUGGCCCUUCACCUUCGAGAGAAAAGGCUGGACAUUGAGGAGGCUUUAGUUGAAGAAAAGAAAAUUGUUGAUAACCUCAAAAAGGAAUAUGAUACAUUGUCAAAAAAAGUGAAAAUUGUGGCAACUAAUCUGAAUGCAGCAGAGGAGGCCCUGGAGGCUUAUCAGCGAGAGAAGCAGCAGCGGCUGAAUGAACUGCUAGUUGUGAUUCCGCUCAAGCUCCACCAGAUAGAGUAUGUGGUAUUUGGAGAAAUACCUAGCGAUCUUUCUGGUACUUUGGUCUUCUCUAACCAUGCCUUGAGACGGCUGCAAGAACGAAUCCAUGAGCUCCAGGAGGAAAAUUCCAAGCAGCAAAAACUUAACAAAGAAUGGAGAGAGAGACGUAAACAGCUCAUCCGAGAAAAGAGAGAAAUGACAAAAACCAUACACAAAAUGGAGGAAACAGUCCGGCAGCUCAUGAUCAGCAAGUUUGGCCGUGUGGUAAAUCUAGAAGCCCUUCAAACGCUUUCUGUUAAUACAACACUUGAAGAACUGAAGAUCAGAAAACUUCGAAAGGAGCUAGCAAAUGCGAAAGAGAUGAAGAUGUGGGAGGAAAAGAUUGCUCAAAUGCGAUGGGAACUGAUGAUGAAGACAAAAGAACACACCAGAAAGCUUUAUCAGAUGAAUGAUUUGUGUAUUGAAAAGAAGAAACUUGAUUCUCGGUUGAAUACACUACAGAAUCAGCAGGGCAAUGCCUUCCAGGGCCCUCGGGAAGCAGAUGUUGUGGCAAGAGAGGAGGUCACUGAAUUGAUCCAACUCCAGGCGGAAAGGAUUUCGGCCUUAAAGGAGGAGAUUGCUCUUUUGCGUAGGAAAGGCAGUCUUAUCCUCCCACCCAUUCAGUCUCCACGAGAGAAAGAGAUACAGCCCGCAGACCUUUGAGUUUGCUAUUUUCUCAAACCCAUACAAGAUUUCUGACAUAACUCACUGGAAGUUCUGUCUCCUCAUCACCUCCAACAAUCUUAUUACUUUAAACUGAACUCGCCUGAAAGUGUAAAACCAGAUCCAGUCACGUUAAGUCACUUUAAGAAUCUCUCUACAAUUUGGUUAUCUUAGAACUGACUGCAGCACCCAACCUCUGUUAUGAAACUGAAUCAUUUUAGAUGUUUCGAACCUACUAGAUUGAAUAUGAAGUCUCGGAAGGCUGUGUUUCAUGAUUGCAGCAAAUCACCUGUAAUAUAUUUUGUUUUAGGAAAAUUUGAUUUGGGGGUAUCCUGAAUUUUUAGCCCUUGGCAAGAAAAACUAUCAUUCAGCAAUUCAUGAGAAAACUUUGUUUUCUUGAUCCUUAGAAAAUAAACUUAGAUGUUAUUAAGUGUUCUCUGAGAGGAUGCAGGAGAAAAGGACAUUUUGUCAGCUAUAUCUUAGAAUAGAAAUGCAAAUUUCAGUUUUGGCAUUGUUGACUUCAUAAAGCAGUGUUUUGAGGGCUCAGGAUUCAGGAAAUACAAACAGACAUGGCAGAGCAGUUUGCUUUGGGUUGGCAGAAAGCAGGAAAAUAACCAGCCUUCUUGGAUUGCCCACAGUUUUUGUAGACUCCUCAGUUCUGAGUGGAGCAGAGGGGCAUGCUUAAUAAAACAGUCAAUAAAGAGGCUUUUCUUUAAAGAUUUCUGCAACUCCGUCAGAAUUCUAAGUUUUCCCCAUAGUUUCUCAUGUCCCCUGCCAUUUUCUUUCAGGUUUUACUUGGGCCAUUUGCUGGUUUUGAUAUAGAUGAGGAGAUAAUGAAAUAGAUUUACUAGAGAUCAUCUUUAACAAUCACCUUUGAUUAUGCAUAACAUUUUAAACUAAUUGAAGAGUAUCCUUUUGGUUUGGGGGUAAGUGCUCAUUGAAGUUCAUGGCUAUAACCAUUGCAGGAUAAUCUCACUGACAUUUGGAAUCCUGUUAGUAACAGAGCAUAGCUCUUUAGAUUAAGAGCUCUGUAUUAACGAGCUACUCAUUGAGGCUGUUCCAGGAUAAGCUGGUCACUGAGAAGGGCGGGUGAAGAAAGGAACAUUGCAUAAAUGUAGAAGGGAACUCAGCAAUGCCAAGUCUUCCUCACCUGUGAUUAGCCUGCUAAUGUGCCCCCCAAAAUUACAGACAGGUCUUGCUUUCUUUGUACAUCAGCAUAUUCUUAGAGGUGGCCACUUGGCCUAUUGUCUUCCUAAGAUUCCUUCAUAUUCCUAUUUAAGAGGUCAGAAUACCUUAUUGUUUGCACUUGUCACCAUUAAUUUCUGAUGUAGUCACUUCUCUACUGGAGAGCACCCACUUUUUUUUUUAAAUCACUUUCUGUGUUGUAUAUCCUAAGCCAUGUGUGCCUUUCAAGUAUUUUUAAAAAUAUGCUAGUCAUAGCCCUGAGUGUCUUAUUUAUUGCGGUAAAAAAUUACCCCCAAACUUAGCUUGAAACAACAAACUUGUGAUCUCACCCAGGAGUGAGAGGGUUUCUGAGGUCCAGGAAUCUGGGGACAGCUUGGCCGGGUGUUCUGGCUCAGGGUCUUUCGUGGAGUUGCAGUCACACUAGGAGCUGGGGCUGCAGCCAUCUGAAGCUUGGCUGGAGCUGGAGGGGCUAUUAGCAAAUUCACUCCCUUGGCCAUUAGGCAGGGCUUCAGUUCCUCGCCAUGUGGGCCUCUCCAUAGGGCCGCUUGGGAUAUGACUUCUCCCAGAGCAAGUGAUCCAAGAGUGAGGGAGACAGCAAGAGAGAAUGAUGUAUACAAGAGCCACAGUCUUUUACAGCCCAAGCUCAGAAGUGACAUAGCGUCACUAUUGUCAUAUGGGUCACAGGCUGACCCUGUGUGAUGUGGGAGGGGACUGAACAGGGUGUGAAUGCCAGGUGGGGGUCACCGGGGCCUUCGUGGGAGCUGGCAGCCACAAGAAGCAGCUGCCUGGAGAGAGUGGCUGGUCUCUGAGAAAGGUCUUGAGGCGAUACCAUCCCCUUGGUAAUUGUAGAGAAUCAGGAGAAGUUACGUUAUCUUCCUGGGCCUCAUUUUAUUAUCUGACAAAUGAAGGAUUGGUAGAAUGGGUUCCUUCCCAUUCUGAGAUUCUGAUUCUGAUUGCAGCAAGAAUGGACCUACAGUCUACAGAAGAGCCACAUCAGGACUUGCUGUGCAUUUCAACUGAGAGGAAAGCUAAUCGGGAUAAUUAUUCCCAAACUGAGCUGGACUAAAUCACUAGUUAAUUCUACAAUAUUCAGGGCUUCAUUCCGCAUGUUUGGGAAUUGACGACAGUUAACACUGAAUUACUUUAUUUUGAAUUGGACAAAAUAUGUUGAUAGCUUUAGGUUCAUUUCAACUUGAUUCCAGGCUUAGUCUUAAAUCUGUAGUUAAGUUAGAGCAUCUGAGUCUUUGGGAAGUUAAGCUUCAAACACAAGUAGACCAGCAGGGUGUGGCAUGGGCAGGGUGGCUGGGAAGCUAUCCUGCUCCUGGCACACUUCCCUGCCUUCUGCUGUGCUCCCAGAGGAGCAGCCUCACCUCUGAGGGUAAGGCCAAAAAUCAGCCUACACUGAGUUACUUGUGGGUCAAUUGUUCAUAUAACUUGGCUCUUCUGAACUGUCAUCCAUAGUAUCACCGAUGAUCAAUCUCAGCAUUGGAAGAAAAAGAAACCACAGAGUCCAGCCCCUCUGUCACAACUUCAGAGUAAAGGAGUUGCUCAUGCCUGCCAGCCAGCCUGUCCCACCACAGCGGGCUCCCCAGCUUAGGGAGGUCUGUGAGCCAUGUGCUAAAUUUCUCUUUAGAGCUAAAUCCAUUGAGUGCUAUGAUUCCAGUGCUGUGCAGAAAGCAGAUGUUUCACCUAUCACUUCAGAAAAGUUCACCAGACUUCAUUUUGACAGCUACCUUAGAUCAUCAAGGAGAAAAAGGAAAAAAUGUAAAAACCAGUGGGGCUAGAAGGUGAGUUACAGCUCAGAUUGGGGGGCCUCUGGAUAGCAAAGCAAUGACUGAGAGCGUCAGCCCUACCCACCCCAGAAGUGAGCUCUGGGCCGUGAUGCCAGGUUGUCUGAAAUCACAGUAUCUUAUUUUUUCUCUUCUCUUCCCUGCUCUGCUUCUCAUUUCCUAACAUUUACCUGUUCCUUACAGUCCUUCCUUUUAAAUAAUAUUUUUAAAAUACUGCUUUCCUGAAAACCAUGCUGCACUUCCACAUGAAGUUCUCUCUGACGUUGAGCUUGAUGGAAAAAGGAUGCAGAAGUCAGGAAUAGCAGGUGCUAUACUUAUUUUGGCCAGCAGAGGAUGCACUUGCCCUAAACAGUCAGAGUGACUCUUCCCUAGGACCCUGUUUAUCAAAUUCUUCAUGUUUAAAAGCCAGGGUCUGGCCCCCCACUUAACGAGAUUGUCUCAAGUGGCAUUUCAUCUGUAACUCAAUUUUACAGAAAUCUAGAAAAUACAGGCUCCCCCCACCCUCUCCAGCCCCAAAACACAAAGCGUAGUAAGGCUUUCAUUGCAAGCAUCAGUCUCCAUCUAAUUCCACUUCCACAUAUAAAGAUUUUAAAAUUUCAAUUAAAAAAGAAUCUAUGGUUGAUCCUUUGGUUGGACAACAGUAAGUAAAUGUUGAUUUUAAACUAGUGAGUCAACUACUCUGGCAAUGUUGGUGUAUCUUUGGAAAGAAGGGAAGUGAAUUUAUUAUGCACCAUAUGUCCAUGUGUGGCACAGCACUUAGCUAAACAGUAUUUUGGAGAAAAUAUUUGGUCUUCAACACACACCUAUAUAAAAAAGAUUAGUUCUAUUUCUUCAAUAUGACCUAAACUUCAUCUCAAGUCCAGUUGGUAAGAGAACUAUGAACCUGUUUUUCCUGGUCUGUUGUACAACGGUUCCCUUGUGGACUAAACGGUAAUGUGUUCUGCAUGAAUCCAAGCACAACUGACAUUCACUGUUUUAAAAAACAAAAAAGAGAAACAUUUACUACCUUUUUCAGAUCUCAUUUCUGAUGGACCUGAAAAUAUUGUAAGUGGGUAUUUUCUUCAAAUACUCAGAGACUGAAUUCUAACAUGUAAAGAAAAUGCUGACUCACACAUGACUCAGUUUGAAGGUUACAGGGAAGACUAAACAUUUAUUUAGAAGUUACAGUGUUUGUUUUUACAGAGAUAUGUUGCCACGGAUUAUUGAUUCUGGAAGGUUUUUUAAUGCUCAUAGUGCUGUACACAUCUUGGUCUGUUCUCAUGGGCAUCUUAGGAAAAUGUUUCCCGUAGCACCGGAUCCAGCCAUCUGUGUGGGUGUCUCCAGGCUGUGAUACCGUGCCCCUUGCUGUUCCCUCAUGCUCGUGAUGAACCAUGUGCCUGGGAUCCUUCCUCUUGCCAGCUUAUCUGUGGGCCUCCUGCAGCCUCGCCUGCCACUGCAGAGGCCCCAGGUUAGGAGUCUGUCCCGCGCCAGCCUGUGCGGUGCUUUCCUGGGUGACUCCUGUUAGGUGGCAGCUUCUUUAUUUUCCCUCUCCAACCUCAACGGGUAGGACUCCUUAUGUCUCUCCAGAAUUAUAAAACAUAUACAUUUAUUUACAAGUGCAUAAAUAUAUAAAUAUGGCUAUAAUAGAAAAAUAAAUACCAAUUUUCUCUGUC